rnacentral:lncRNA from 1 species
UCAGGCCUUUGCGAGUCUCUUCCGUAUAAGCCAGCAAGCCAGCAAUCAUGUUCCUGAGAACAACGACGAGAUGGGGCGGACGAGCUAUGGCUACAGUACAAGAACUAGAACUACAACAAUAACAUGAAACGAGGAACUUAACAAAUCUCAAACGCUUACAUGACGGGUUCCACCUUUCUGUGAAUCCGAUAGGGUUAGAGACCACAUGUUCGGUCCUAAAGAAGAAAUAUUUAUGUCAGAAUCCACGGCUUGCUCGAUCGGUAGUUUCGACCACCAAUCCCUUUUCACUACGGAUUCU